AUCUUAACACCCAGACACAAAGUAAAGCAACCCACGAUUUAAAGCAUGCCAUGAUUUACAACAACAUAUGGAGAAGCAAAGCAGGUGAUGCUGAUAUGGAAUCAAGAAUGAAAUGAGCACAUUUCAUGCACUUGAUUGGAAAUAUUUAUGAAGGCACCCUCCACCCCCAUCUGUCUUUGAGGGAGUGCGUGUGAGAGGAGGAAAAUGUAUGCACAAAGCCAGAGCGAUGAAAAAUUGCUUGAAUAGACGGUACAUUUGCGUGAGGCCCGGACAGCAUUGUCACACGACAAGCCGACAGAGCGAAAGAUAGACGUCCGGAAAACAAACUCCAGACUCUUCAGGAGUAUGGAGCUUGAACAAAUGAGGGAUCCAACUAAUUGGCUUUUUCCAAGAAGGCGGAUUAGUGGUGAACAACGGCCGGCACAGAGUCUGUCUGUCAUUGCAGCAUGUAACUGUCUUAACCUGAGAUGCCUUUGCCACAUUUACCGAAGGUUACUUUCACAGUGCAUUUUGUGGUAAUUGAUCAAAAGGGAAAUAUAACUUGCGGCGAAACUGGCUAUUGAAAUGAUGAAAUAUACUAAUUUCAAUGGGAAGGAGGCAUAACGAUCUUUGAACUGACGAUGGUAGGUCAUCAUAAAUGAUCAAACAUUGAUUCAUUCUUUUGGGCUGGUGAUCAUUGAUGUGAUGUUAUGGUACAAAUUCCACUUUAUCGCCCUUGUUUAAUGUCAAAUGAUCCCGAACUCUGGACGUUCGCUGUCUUUUAUGUACCGUUUCCUGCCUGCUCGUUGCCAUCGCCCCAAGCGGAGUGGUGCGGGUGACUGCAGUAACCUUAGUCCCUGU